AAAUUGAAGAGUUUGAUCAUGGCUCAGAUUGAACGCUGGCGGCAGGCCUAACACAUGCAAGUCGAACGGUAGCACAGAGAGCUUGCUCUCGGGUGACGAGUGGCGGACGGGUGAGUAAUGUCUGGGAAACUGCCUGAUGGAGGGGGAUAACUACUGGAAACGGUAGCUAAUACCGCAUAACGUCGCAAGACCAAAGAGGGGGACCUUCGGGCCUCUUGCCAUCAGAUGUGCCCAGAUGGGAUUAGCUAGUAGGUGGGGUAACGGCUCACCUAGGCGACGAUCCCUAGCUGGUCUGAGAGGAUGACCAGCCACACUGGAACUGAGACACGGUCCAGACUCCUACGGGAGGCAGCAGUGGGGAAUAUUGCACAAUGGGCGCAAGCCUGAUGCAGCCAUGCCGCGUGUAUGAAGAAGGCCUUCGGGUUGUAAAGUACUUUCAGCGGGGAGGAAGGUGUUGUGGUUAAUAACCGCAGCAAUUGACGUUACCCGCAGAAGAAGCACCGGCUAACUCCGUGCCAGCAGCCGCGGUAAUACGGAGGGUGCAAGCGUUAAUCGGAAUUACUGGGCGUAAAGCGCACGCAGGCGGUCUGUCAAGUCGGAUGUGAAAUCCCCGGGCUCAACCUGGGAACUGCAUUCGAAACUGGCAGGCUAGAGUCUUGUAGAGGGGGGUAGAAUUCCAGGUGUAGCGGUGAAAUGCGUAGAGAUCUGGAGGAAUACCGGUGGCGAAGGCGGCCCCCUGGACAAAGACUGACGCUCAGGUGCGAAAGCGUGGGGAGCAAACAGGAUUAGAUACCCUGGUAGUCCACGCCGUAAACGAUGUCGAUUUGGAGGUUGUGCCCUUGAGGCGUGGCUUCCGGAGCUAACGCGUUAAAUCGACCGCCUGGGGAGUACGGCCGCAAGGUUAAAACUCAAAUGAAUUGACGGGGGCCCGCACAAGCGGUGGAGCAUGUGGUUUAAUUCGAUGCAACGCGAAGAACCUUACCUGGUCUUGACAUCCACAGAACUUUCCAGAGAUGGAUUGGUGCCUUCGGGAACUGUGAGACAGGUGCUGCAUGGCUGUCGUCAGCUCGUGUUGUGAAAUGUUGGGUUAAGUCCCGCAACGAGCGCAACCCUUAUCCUUUGUUGCCAGCGGUUAGGCCGGGAACUCAAAGGAGACUGCCAGUGAUAAACUGGAGGAAGGUGGGGAUGACGUCAAGUCAUCAUGGCCCUUACGACCAGGGCUACACACGUGCUACAAUGGCGCAUACAAAGAGAAGCGACCUCGCGAGAGCAAGCGGACCUCAUAAAGUGCGUCGUAGUCCGGAUUGGAGUCUGCAACUCGACUCCAUGAAGUCGGAAUCGCUAGUAAUCGUAGAUCAGAAUGCUACGGUGAAUACGUUCCCGGGCCUUGUACACACCGCCCGUCACACCAUGGGAGUGGGUUGCAAAAGAAGUAGGUAGCUUAACCUUCGGGAGGGCGCUUACCACUUUGUGAUUCAUGACUGGGGUGAAGUCGUAACAAGGUAACCGUAGGGGAACCUGCGGUUGGAUCACCUCCUUA
rnacentral:rRNA from 2 species